rnacentral:rRNA from 1 species
UACAGAGGGUGCAAACGUUGUUCGGAAUUACUGGGCUUAAAGGGCGCGUAGGCGGGCUAUCAAGUCCGGGGUGAAAUCCUCCAGCUUAACUGGAGAACGGCCUCGGAUACUGAUGGUCUCGAGGAGGAUAGGGGCACACGGAACUGUGGGUGGAGCGGUGAAAUGCGUUGAUAUCCAUAGGAACUCCGGUGGCGAAAGCGGUGUGCUGGAUCCUUUCUGACGCUGAGGCGCGAAAGCCAGGGGAGCAAAGCGGG